ACGAGACUUCAUUUUUUCAUGUGAGCUAUUUUUUUGUGCCUGUUGUAAAACUCAAAUAAGUGUAUUUAAUAUAUCCAUUACUUGUAAAUUUAUCAUUUAUUUCUGGUAAGAAUGUUCAAAAUCCUUUCCUCUAGCUAUUUUGAAAUAUACAAUACAAUAUUAUUAACCACAGUCAUCCUAUUGUACAAUAGAGCAACAGAACUUAUUCCUGCCAUCCUACUGUAACUUUGUACUCUUUGACCAAUUUCUCCCCAACCCCCUCUUCCUCCUCACCUCCCCAGAUUCUGGUGACCAUUAUUCUACUCUCCACUACUUUUUUUUUUUUUUUUUAGACGGAAUCUCACUCUGUCAUCCACCCUGAACUCAAGCUGCAGGUCCCAGGCAGGUCACUUAACUUGUUGGAGAGGCUGCCAGGAUCUGCUAAGAACAGCAAGCCGCUUCUCCCAUGGC
rnacentral:lncRNA from 1 species